rnacentral:rRNA from 1 species
CCUACGGGAGGCUGCAGUAGGGAAUAUUGCUCAAUGGGGGAAACCCUGAAGCAGCAACGCCGCGUGGAGGAUGAAGGUUUUCGGAUUGUAAACUCCUUUUGUUAGAGAAGAUAAUGACGGUAACUAACGAAUAAGAACCGGCUAACUCCGUGACAGCAGCCGCGGUAAUACAGAGGGUGCAAGCGUUACCCGGAAUCACUGGGCGUAAAGAGCGCGUAGGCGGGAUAGCAAGUCAGAUGUGAAAUCCUAUGGCUUAACCAGAGAACUGCAUUUGAAACUGUUAGUCUAGAGUAUGGGAGAGGGAGGUGGAAUUCUUGGUGUAGGAGUAAAAUCCGUAGAGAUCGAGAGGAAUACUCGUGGCGAAGGCGAGCUGCUAGAACAUAACUGACGCUGAGGCGCGAAGGCGUGGGGAGCGAACGGGAUUAGAUACCCUGGUAGUC